GCACUUGAUUGGGCAGCACAUAUACUAAAAUUGGAACGAUACAGAGAUUAGCACAGUUUUGCACAAGGAUGACAUACAAAUUCUUGAUGCAUCCCAUGUUAAA
ensembl:snRNA U6 U6 spliceosomal RNA